rnacentral:rRNA from 1 species
GAUGAACGCUAGCUACAGGCUUAACACAUGCAAGUCGAGGGGCAGCAUCAUCAAAGCUUGCUUUGAUGGAUGGCGACCGGCGCACGGGUGAGUAACACGUAUCCAACCUGCCGACAACACUGGGAUAGCCUUUCGAAAGAAAGAUUAAUACCGGAUGGCAUAGUUUUCCCGCAUGGGAUAAUUAUUAAAGAAUUUCGGUUGUCGAUGGGGAUGCGUUCCAUUAGGCAGUUGGCGGGUAACGGCCCACCAAACCUACGAUGGAUAGGGGUUCUGAGAGGAAGGUCCCCCACAUUGGAACUGAGACACGGUCCAAACUCCUACGGGAGCAGCAGUGAGGAAUAUUGGUCAAUGGGCGAGAGCCUGAACCAGCCAAGUAGCGUGAAGGAUGACUGCCCUAUGGGUUGUAAACUUCUUUUAUAAAGGAAUAAAGUCGGUAUGGAUACCCGUUUGCAUGUACUUUAUGAAUAAGGAUCGGCUAACUCCGUGCCAGCAGCCGC